UUUCGCAAUGCCCGAAAGGGUGACGAAGCGACGCCGCGUGGGUGAGGAAGGCCUUCGGGUUGUAAAGCCCUGUCAGGAGUUAAGAAAUGUAAGUGCGUUAAUACCGCAUUUAUUUGACGAAGGCUCCAAAGGAAGUCACGGCUAACUCUGUGCCAGCAGCCGCGGUAAUACAGAGGUGGCAAGCGUUGUUCGGAAUUAUUGGGCGUAAAGAGCACGUAGGUGGGUUUGUAAGUCAGAUGUGAAAGCCUCCUGUUCAACGGGAGAAUUGCAUCUGAAACUGCGAAUCUUGAGUGUAGGAGGGGAGAAUGGAACUUCUGGUGGAGCGGUGAAAUGCGUAGAUAUCAGAAGGAACGCCGGCGGCGAAAGCGAUUCUCUGGCCUAUUACUGACACUCAGUGUGCGAAAGCUAGGGGAGCAAACGGGAUUAGAUACCCCGGUAGUCCUAGCCGUAAACGAUGGGCACUAAGUAGAGGGGUUUU
rnacentral:rRNA from 1 species